rnacentral:rRNA from 1 species
UAGGGAAUCUUCGGCAAUGGACGAAAGUCUGACCGAGCAACGCCGCGUGAGUGAAGAAGGUUUUCGGAUCGUAAAACUCUGUUGUUAGAGAAGAACAAGGACGUUAGUAACUGAACGUCCCCUGAAGGUAUCUAACCAGAAAGCCACGGCUAACUACGUGCCAGCAGCCGCGGUAAUACGUAGGUGGCAAGCGUUGUCCGGAUUUAUUGGGCGUAAAGCGAGCGCAGGCGGUUUCUUAAGUCUGAUGUGAAAGCCCCCGGCUCAACCGGGGAGGGUCAUUGGAAACUGGGAGACUUGAGUGCAGAAGAGGAGAGUGGAAUUCCAUGUGUAGCGGUGAAAUGCGUAGAUAUAUGGAGGAACACCAGUGGCGAAGGCGGCUCUCUGGUCUGUAACUGACGCUGAGGCUCGAAAGCGUGGGGAGCAAACAGG